AUGUCAUGUGAUGAGAUAAAGUUUACCGCCCCAGUCUGAUAAACUGUGACUGAUUGGUUUACAUCUGAAUGA